CCUACGGGGGGCAGCAGUGGGGAAUAUUGGACAAUGGGGGGAACCCUGAUCCAGCCAUGCCGCGUGUGUGAAGAAGGCCCUCGGGUUGUAAAGCACUUUCAGUGAGGAAGAACGCCUGGUGGUUAAUACCCAUCAGGAAAGACAUCACUCACAGAAGAAGCACCGGCUAACUCCGUGCCAGCAGCCGCGGUAAUACGGAGGGUGCGAGCGUUAAUCGGAAUUACUGGGCGUAAAGCGCGCGUAGGUGGCUUGAUAAGCCGGUUGUGAAAGCCCCGGGCUCAACCUGGGAACGGCAUCCGGAACUGUCAAGCUAGAGUGCAGGAGAGGAAGGUAGAAUUCCCGGUGUAGCGGUGAAAUGCGUAGAGAUCGGGAGGAAUACCAGUGGCGAAGGCGGCCUUCUGGACUGACACUGACACUGAGGUUCGAAAGCGUGGGUAGCAAACAGGAUUAGAUACCCGAGUAGUC
rnacentral:rRNA from 1 species